rnacentral:rRNA from 1 species
AUUGAACGCUGGCGGCAUGCCUUACACAUGCAAGUCGAACGGCAGCACGGGGGCAACCCUGGUGGCGAGUGGCGAACGGGUGAGUAAUACAUCGGAACGUGUCCUGUAGUGGGGGAUAGCCCGGCGAAAGCCGGAUUAAUACCGCAUACGCUCUACGGAGGAAAGGGGGGGAUCUUAGGACCUCCCGCUACAGGGGCGGCCGAUGGCAGAUUAGCUAGUUGGUGGGGUAAAGGCCUACCAAGGCGACGAUCUGUAGCUGGUCUGAGAGGACGACCAGCCACACUGGGACUGAGACACGGCCCAGACUCUACGGGAGGCAGCAGUGGGGAAUUUUGGGACAAUGGGGCGAAAGCCCUGAUCCCAGCAAAUGCCCGCGUGUGUGAAAGAAAGGGCCUUUCGGGUUGUAAAAGCCACCUUUGUUCCGGAAAGGAAAACCCCG